UCUCCUUUCUACCUCCAACCCAUUUUUUGGCUCCAUUUUCAGUUUCUCUCUCCUCAACACUAACAAGAAACUAUGGCGUCACUCUCUCUCCUCUCUACUCUCCCUUCUCUUACAGCCGUUUCUCUCUCAUCUCCCUCCAUUACUACUACUACUCCAAGAUAUUCUCCUCUUCAUGUUACAAUUCGUUGUAGUAGUAAUAAAUUGGACAUUGAUGAGGAUCGAUUUCAACGAAGGGACUUCCUCAAGUGCAUCGCAUUGUCAGCUGGAGUGGAACUAAUGGCAAGUUCAGGAACCUUUUCUGGGGAUGCAUACGCUGCUGAUUUGGUUCAGAGAAGGCAGCGCUCUGAGUUUCUCUCUGAUAUAAAAGGGACACUUUAUACAGCUAUAAAGAAAAAUCCAGACCUCAUUCCGUCAAUUCUAACUCUAGCCUUAAAUGAUGCGAUGACUUACGACAAGGCCACAAAAUCUGGAGGUCCAAAUGGUUCAAUACGAUUCAGCUCAGAAAUAAGCAGACCUGAAAACAAAGGGCUGUCUGCUGCUUUGAAUCUAGUGGAGGAAGCAAAAAAAGAAAUUGAUUCAUACUCCAAGGGUGGACCAAUCGCUUAUGCUGACCUCAUCCAACUUGCAGCACAAUCAGCUGUAAAGAACACUUUCCUGGCUUCUGCUAUCCGCAAAUGUGGUGGGAAUGAAGAGAAGGGUGGUCUAUUAUAUUCAGCAUAUGGUUCUUCUGGACAGUGGGGCCUGUUUGAUAGACAAUUUGGGAGGACAGAUGCUCAAGAACCAGAUCCAGAAGGUAGAGUUCCCCAAUGGGAUAAAGCAAGUGUCCAGGAAAUGAAGGAUAAAUAUAAAGCUGUGGGAUUUGGCCCUCGCCAGCUGGCUGUUAUGUCUGCGUUUCUUGGUCCUGAUCAAAAAGCAACUGAGGACUUAUUGGCUCAAGAUCCGGAAGUUGCUCCAUGGGUUCUGAAAUACCAGCGUAGUCGAGAAACAGUUUCUCAGACUGACUAUGAGGUUGACCUGAUAACUACUCUUACAAAGUUAAGCGGCUUGGGACAACAAAUUUAUUAUGAAGCAUAUACAUAUCCUGUGAAAAGGAUUGAAUUGAGCAAACUGAAGCUAUAAUAACAACGCACCUAGAAGAAGAGAAACUACAAGAUGAUUUACUGGUCUAAGUAACUCACUAAGGGGAGAGAGGGCGUCAAAAGUGAAGAAAAUCACCAACAAGCUUUCCAGACUGCAGGACCAUCUUUGCCGGUGUAUUUCAAGUCGAUGUUAACGAGCUGUACCUUCUCACAUGGCACACCACUACUACAAACCACCUUCACUGCUUCUUUGCUGCUCGACGUGCCCCUCACAUUCUGGAAUUUAAUGUCGCUAAGCUUCACUUUGGAUGGCGUCUGCAACCAAUUUAUUAAGGCGUGGUUGAAUUAACGUAUAUAAAGAUUUUAUUGAUGAAGGGUGAGCUGUCUUCAUCUGAAUUUCACUUGUAUGAAUUCAGCCAUAAAUUUAACUUAUUCAAACUUACUAGCCUUAGAGUUUAUUAAUCUGACUAGCCGUAAAACUUACUAAUCUGAAAUCUGAAUUGAACUUAUGGUCCA